GACGAACGCUGGCGGCGUGCUUAACACAUGCAAGUCGAACGGAAAGGCCCUGCUUUUGUGGGGUGCUCGAUUGGCGAACGGGUGAGUAACACGUGAGUAACCUGCCCUUGACUUUGGGAUAACUUCAGGAAACUGGGGCUAAUACCGGAUAGGAGCUCCUGCUGCAUGGUGGGGGUUGGAAAGUUUCGGCGGUUGGGGCUGGACUCGCGGCUUAUCAGCUUGUUGGUGGGGUAGUGGCUUACCAAGGGUUUGACGGGUAGCCGGCCUGAGAGGGUGACCGGCCACAUUGGGACUGAGAUACGGCCCAGACUCCUACGGGAGGCAGCAGUGGGGAAUAUUGCACAAUGGGCGGAAGCCUGAUGCAGCAACGCCGCGUGCGGGAUGACGGCCUUCGGGUUGUAAACCGCUUUCGCCUGUGACGAAGCGUGAGUGACGGUAAUGGGUAAAGAAGCACCGGCUAACUACGUG
rnacentral:rRNA from 1 species